rnacentral:tRNA from 4 species
CGGGGAUUGGCGCAGUUGGCUAGCGCGCACGCAUGGGGUGCGUGAGGUCGAGAGUUCAAAUCUCUCAUCCCCGACAA